AGCAAGAAAACAUUAGUUCUCCAGCAGAUACAGCACAUAAUAAUAUUAACAACGAUGCAGACCAUUAUUCAUCACUUUUAAGCUUUCGGUAUGGAGCUGUAUUCAAGCCAUUUCACCGCUUCAAGAACACUAGGCAUUGAUCGCUGCUUAGAAACAGGGAGUGCCCAUGAACUAAAUUUUCGGAUUGAUCGAUCUGCAUCCAAAAGUGACUUGGCCUCGUUUACCUUGCUGGCUACAUAAGGGCUACCACCCCGAUCUGGAUGAUUUGCAAGCAUCAACCUUCUGUGAGCCUCUUUUAUUUUUUGUCGAGUUAAAGUACGGUUGUUCAAUGACAGAAUUUGAAUGGCUUCUGCCCUAGACAUUUUUGACUCAAAACCACCCUUGAGAAAGGCCUUUACUCCGCCAUUCAAAUUCCGGUAUUUUCUGAAUGCGUCAACACCAAUUUUCCCCUAAAGUCAUUAGCAUUUCAAAUGUCAAGCUUUUAUUUUCUGUUUUCACAUACUGCCGCAGCCGUUGCAGCGAUACCGACUCCAAGGAGAAUAGCAGACGACUAAUCAAAAAUAAGUUAGU